UGCCUCAGUAACGGCGAGUGAAGCGGCAACAGCUCAAAUUUGAAAUCUGGCCGCAAGGUCCGAGUUGUAAUUUGCAGAGGAUGCUUUUGGCGAGGUGCCUUCCGAGUUCCCUGGAACGGGACGCCAUAGAGGGUGAGAGCCCCGUACGGUUGGACCACCGAGCCUCUGUAAAGCUCCUUCGACGAGUCGAGUAGUUUGGGAAUGCUGCUCUAAAUGGGAGGUGUACGUCUUCUAAAGCUAAAUACCGGCCAGAGACCGAUAGCGCACAAGUAGAGUGAUCGAAAGAUGAAAAGCACUUUGAAAAGAGGGUUAAAAAGUACGUGAAAUUGUUGAAAGGGAAGCGUUUAUGACCAGACUUGGGCUUGGUUGAACAUCCGGCGUUCUCGCCGGUGCACUCUGCCAGUCCAGGCCAGCAUCAGUUUGUCCCGGGGGAUAAAGGCGGUGGGAAUGUGGCUCCCCCGGGAGUGUUAUAGCCCGCCGUGUAAUGCCCUGGGACGGACUGAGGAACGCGCUUCGGCACGGAUGCUGGCGUAAUGGUCAUCAACGACCCGUCUUGAAACACGGACCAAGGAGUCGUCUUCGUAUGCGAGUGUUCGGGUGUCAAACCCCUACGCGUAAUGAAAGUGAACGUAGGUGAGAGCUUCGGCGCAUCACCGACCGAUCCUGAUGUUCUCGGAUGGAUUUGAGUAAGAGCAUACGGGGCCGGACCCGAAAGAAGGUGAACUAUGCCUGUAUAGGGUGAAGCCAGAGGAAACUCUGGUGGAGGCUCGCAGCGGUUCUGACGUGCAAAUCGAUCGUCAAAUAUGGGCAUGGGGGCGAAAGACUAAUCGA
rnacentral:sRNA from 1 species